rnacentral:lncRNA from 1 species
AGAAACUUGGGAGAUGAACUUCUCUGCCUGGUGUUUUUGUCUUGUCCAUACUUGCAGGAGUAAGCUGAUAUCUAAAAAUAACUAUUGCACUGAUUGGUAUACUCUAAACCAAUCAGGGUCUUAGCCUUUGUUUCUGGGGUGAGCUCUGGUUCAUGGGACCUAGGGACACAUAAUAAAAGUAUAAAAAUACAUCAUGAAGGGCAGCCUCCUCAAGCACAUCAUGCCAUGAGUAACCAUGUUCUCUCCAUUACAUCAAGUUGUUUGGAAGAUUUGGCUGCUUCUGAUCCUCAGAAAGUAGAAACAACACGAAUGCCCACCAACUGUCUGGAUAAUGAAUUGCAAUUAAUCAAUAUAAGCCAAGGUAUGGUGAUUUAUCACAAAUGACACUUGCUGAUGAUAUCUUUUC